AGACCCCCUGAAUGUGGGUGUCAGUGAGGAGGCCUAGUUUCUAGGGGAAUGAUAGGGGCCACAUCUGUGAUGCUGUCUCAGAGCCCCAUUCUCUUCCUGGAACUCACUAGAUUUCAACAGAUCAUUUCUCACAAUCAACUAAAGGAACCAGCUGCUGAAUCUGCUGAAUGGAUCUAUUAUUACACUAGUGUUCUUAACUGUAGAGCACAUUCCUAAAAGGAAAAACAUCACAUCAAAGGAUAUGUGUGUUGGAGGAAGAAGAGGCAAGAAGCUGGAAAGAUUGCUCAGUGGGUAAAGGUGUGCGUUGCCACCGCCCGGUUCCACAGAAGCUUUUAUAAAGGGAAACAUUUAAUUUGGGUGGAUUACAUUUUCAGAGGUUUAGUCCACUAUUUUCAUGGCAGGACAUGGGAGCACGC